rnacentral:tRNA from 1 species
UGUAGGGUGGAGCAGUGGUAGCUCGUCAGGCUCAUAACCUGAAGGUCAUUGGUUCGAUUCCAGUCCCUACAA